rnacentral:tRNA from 1 species
CAGAAUGUAGCUAAACAGAAUAGCAUUUCCCUUACACCGAACAGGCACUCGUGCGAACCGAGUCAUUCUGA